rnacentral:rRNA from 1 species
UACGGAAGGGGCAAGCGUUGUUCGGAAUCAUUGGGCGUAAAGGGCGUGUAGGUGGUUCUGUAUGUCUACCGUGAAAGCGUACGGCUCAACCGUAUUUAGUCGGUAGAAACUGCAGGACUUGAGGCUGGGAGGGGCUGGUGGAAUUCCCCGUGUAGCGGUGAAAUGCGUAGAGAUGGGGGAGAACACUCGUGGCGAAGGCGGCCAGCUAGACCAGUUCUGACACUGAGGCGCGAUAGCGUGGGGAGCAAACAGG